rnacentral:rRNA from 1 species
GGUUAAGCGACUAAGCGUACACGGUGGAUGCCCUGGCAGUCAGAGGCGAUGAAGGACGUGCUAAUCUGCGAUAAGCGUCGGUAAGGUGAUAUGAACCGUUAUAACCGGCGAUUUCCGAAUGGGGAAACCCAGUGUGAUUCGUCACACUAUCAUUAACUGAAUCCAUAGGUUAAUGAGGCGAACCGGGGGAACUGAAACAUCUAAGUACCCCGAGGAAAAGAAAUCAACCGAGAUUCCCCCAGUAGCGGCGAGCGAACGGGGAGGAGCCCAGAGCCUGAAUCAGUGUGUGUGUUAGUGGAAGCGUCUGGAAAGGCGCGCGAUACAGGGUGACAGCCCCGUACACAAAAAUGCACAUGCUGUGAGCUCGAUGAGUAGGGCGGGACACGUGGUAUCCUGUCUGAAUAUGGGGGGACCAUCCUCCAAGGCUAAAUACUCCUGACUGACCGAUAGUGAACCAGUACCGUGAGGGAAAGGCGAAAAGAACCCCGGCGAGGGAGUGAAAAAGAACCUGAAACCGUGUACGUACAAGCAGUGGGAGCACAGAGCAAUCUGUGUGACUGCGUACCUUUUGUAUAAUGGGUCAGCGACUUAUAUUCUGUAGCAAGGUUAACCGAAUAGGGGAGCCGAAGGGAAACCGAGUCUUAACUGGGCGUUAAGUUGCAGGGUAUAGACCCGAAACCCGGUGAUCUAGCCAUGGGCAGGUUGAAGGUUGGGUAACACUAACUGGAGGACCGAACCGACUAAUGUUGAAAAAUUAGCGGAUGACUUGUGGCUGGGGGUGAAAGGCCAAUCAAACCGGGAGAUAGCUGGUUCUCCCCGAAAGCUAUUUAGGUAGCGCCUCGUGAAUUCAUCUCCGGGGGUAGAGCACUGUUUCGGCAAGGGGUCAUCCCGACUUACCAACCCGAUGCAAACUGCGAAUACCGGAGAAUGUUAUCACGGGAGACACACGGCGGGUGCUAACGUCCGUCGUGAAGAGGGAAACAACCCAGACCGCCAGCUAAGGUCCCAAAGUCAUGGUUAAGUGGGAAACGAUGUGGGAAGGCCCAGACAGCCAGGAUGUUGGCUUAGAAGCAGCCAUCAUUUAAAGAAAGCGUAAUAGCUCACUGGUCGAGUCGGCCUGCGCGGAAGAUGUAACGGGGCUAAACCAUGCACCGAAGCUGCGGCAGCGACGCUUAUGCGUUGUUGGGUAGGGGAGCGUUCUGUAAGCCUGUGAAGGUGUACUGUGAGGUACGCUGGAGGUAUCAGAAGUGCGAAUGCUGACAUAAGUAACGAUAAAGCGGGUGAAAAGCCCGCUCGCCGGAAGACCAAGGGUUCCUGUCCAACGUUAAUCGGGGCAGGGUGAGUCGACCCCUAAGGCGAGGCCGAAAGGCGUAGUCGAUGGGAAACAGGUUAAUAUUCCUGUACUUGGUGUUACUGCGAAGGGGGGACGGAGAAGGCUAUGUUGGCCGGGCGACGGUUGUCCCGGUUUAAGCGUGUAGGCUGGUUUUCCAGGCAAAUCCGGAAAAUCAAGGCUGAGGCGUGAUGACGAGGCACUACGGUGCUGAAGCAACAAAUGCCCUGCUUCCAGGAAAGCCUCUAAGCAUCAGGUAACAUCAAAUCGUACCCCAAACCGACACAGGUGGUCAGGUAGAGAAUACCAAGGCGCUUGAGAGAACUCGGGUGAAGGAACUAGGCAAAAUGGUGCCGUAACUUCGGGAGAAGGCACGCUGAUAUGUAGGUGAAGUCCCUCGCGGAUGGAGCUGAAAUCAGUCGAAGAUACCAGCUGGCUGCAACUGUUUAUUAAAAACACAGCACUGUGCAAACACGAAAGUGGACGUAUACGGUGUGACGCCUGCCCGGUGCCGGAAGGUUAAUUGAUGGGGUUAGCGCAAGCGAAGCUCUUGAUCGAAGCCCCGGUAAACGGCGGCCGUAACUAUAACGGUCCUAAGGUAGCGAAAUUCCUUGUCGGGUAAGUUCCGACCUGCACGAAUGGCGUAAUGAUGGCCAGGCUGUCUCCACCCGAGACUCAGUGAAAUUGAACUCGCUGUGAAGAUGCAGUGUACCCGCGGCAAGACGGAAAGACCCCGUGAACCUUUACUAUAGCUUGACACUGAACAUUGAGCCUUGAUGUGUAGGAUAGGUGGGAGGCUUUGAAGUGUGGACGCCAGUCUGCAUGGAGCCGACCUUGAAAUACCACCCUUUAAUGUUUGAUGUUCUAACGUUGACCCGUAAUCCGGGUUGCGGACAGUGUCUGGUGGGUAGUUUGACUGGGGCGGUCUCCUCCUAAAGAGUAACGGAGGAGCACGAAGGUUGGCUAAUCCUGGUCGGACAUCAGGAGGUUAGUGCAAUGGCAUAAGCCAGCUUGACUGCGAGCGUGACGGCGCGAGCAGGUGCGAAAGCAGGUCAUAGUGAUCCGGUGGUUCUGAAUGGAAGGGCCAUCGCUCAACGGAUAAAAGGUACUCCGGGGAUAACAGGCUGAUACCGCCCAAGAGUUCAUAUCGACGGCGGUGUUUGGCACCUCGAUGUCGGCUCAUCACAUCCUGGGGCUGAAGUAGGUCCCAAGGGUAUGGCUGUUCGCCAUUUAAAGUGGUACGCGAGCUGGGUUUAGAACGUCGUGAGACAGUUCGGUCCCUAUCUCGCCGUGGGCGCUGGAGAACUGAGGGGGGCUGCUCCUAGUACGAGAGGACCGGAGUGGACGCAUCACUGGUGUUCGGGUUGUCAUGCCAAUGGCACUGCCCGGUAGCUAAAUGCGGAAGAGAUAAGUGCUGAAAGCAUCUAAGCACGAAACUUGCCCCGAGAUGAGUUCUCCCUGACUCCUUGAGAGUCCUGAAGGAACGUUGAAGACGACGACGUUGAUAGGCCGGGUGUGUAAGCGCAGCGAUGCGUUGAGCUAACCGGUACUAAUGAACCGUGAGGCUUAACCUU